rnacentral:rRNA from 1 species
GGCUCAGGACGAACGCUGGCGGCGUGCUUAACACAUGCAAGUCGAACGGAAAGGCCCCUGCUUGCAGGGGUACUCGAGUGGCGAACGGGUGAGUAACACGUGGGUGAUCUGCCUUGUACUUCGGGAUAAGCCUGGGAAACUGGGUCUAAUACCGGAUAGGACCAUGCUUUAGUGUGUGUGGUGGAAAGUUUUUUCGGUACAAGAUGAGCCCGCGGCCUAUCAGCUUGUUGGUGGGGUAAUGGCCUACCAAGGCGACGACGGGUAGCCGGCCUGAGAGGGUGUACGGCCACAUUGGGACUGAGACACGGCCCAGACUCCUACGGGAGGCAGCAGUGGGGAAUAUUGCACAAUGGGCGCAAGCCUGAUGCAGCGACGCCGCGUGAGGGAUGACGGCCUUCGGGUUGUAAACCUCUUUCGCUAGGGAAGAAGCCACUUUGUGGUGACGGUACC